AGGAAAGUCUAGUAUAAGCAUUAUACCGUGAAACUGCGAAUGGCUCAUUAAAUCAGUUAUCGUUUAUUUGAUAGUACCUUACUACUUGGAUAACCGUGGUAAUUCUAGAGCUAAUACAUGCUGAAAACCCCGACUUCGGAAGGGGUGUAUUUAUUAGAUAAAAAACCAACGCCCUCCGGGGCUCCUUGGUGAUUCAUGAUAACUUCUCAGAUCGCAUGGCCUUGCGCCGGCGACGGUUCAUUCAAAUUUCUGCCCUAUCAACUUUCGAUGGUAAGGUAUUGGCUUACCAUGGUUUCGACGGGUAACGGGGAAUUAGGGUUCGAUUCCGGAGAGCGAGCCUGAGAGACGGCUAGCACAUCCAAGGAAGGCAGCAGGCGCGCAAAUUACACAAUGGCAACCUUGCCGAUGUAGUGACAAUACAUACUGAUACAGGGCUCUUUUGGGUCUUGUAAUUGGAAUGAGUACAAUUUAAACCUCUUAACGAGGAACAAUUGGAGGGCAAGUCUGGUGCCAGCAGCCGCGGUAAUUCCAGCUCCAAUAGCGUAUAUUAAAGUUGUUGCAGUUAAAAAGCUCGUAGUUGAACCUUUGGCCUGGCUGGCGGGUCUGCCUCACCGCAUGCACUCGUCCGGCCGGGCCUUCUCUUCUGGAGAAUCGCAUGCCCUUCACUGGGUGUGUUGAGGACCAGGACUUUUACUUUGAAAAAAUUAGAGUGUUCAAAGCAGGCCUUUGCUCGAAUACGUUAGCAUGGAAUAAUAGAAUAGGACGUGCGGUCCUAUUUUGUUGGUUUCUAGGACCGCCGUAAUGAUUAAUAGGGACAGUCGGGGGCAUCAGUAUUCAAUUGUCAGAGGUGAAAUUCUUGGAUUUAUUGAAGACUAACUACUGCGAAAGCAUUUGCCAAGGAUGUUUUCAUUAAUCAGUGAACGAAAGUUAGGGGAUCGAAGACGAUAAAUCUGGUCGUCGAGAGUGGCCGCGAGAGCGGUCGCUAGUCGCCCACCCACGGGUUGGUCGGCAACAUCAUCAAAUUGCG
rnacentral:rRNA from 1 species